CAGUCGCCACGGGAAUACGUAGGUGGCAAACGUUGUCCGGAAUUAUUGGGCGUAAAGGGCUCGCAGGCGGUUUCUUAAGUCUGAUGUGAAAGCCCCCGGCUCAACCGGGGAGGGUCAUUGGAAACUGGGAAACUUGAGUGCAGAAGAGGAGAGUGGAAUUCCACGUGUAGCGGUGAAAUGCGUAGAGAUGUGGAGGAACACCAGUGGCGAAGGCGACUCUCUGGUCUGUAACUGACGCUGAGGAGCGAAAGCGUGGGGAGCGAACAGGAUUAGAUACCCCGGUAGUCCCUGUCUCUUAUAC
rnacentral:rRNA from 1 species